rnacentral:rRNA from 1 species
AGCGCAACCCCAUCCAUCGUGUUUGCCAGCGGCUCCGGCCGGGCACUCGGAGGAAACUGCCUGUGACAAGCAGGAGGAAGGCGGGGAUGACGUCAAGUCCUCAUGGCCCGUACGGGCUGGGCUACACACGUGCUACAAUGGCGGUGACAGAGGGCAGCGACGGGGCGACCCCGAGCCAAUCCCGAAAAGCCGUCUCAGUUCGGAUUGCACUCUGCAACUCGAGUGCAUGAAGGUGGAAUCGCUAGUAAUCGCGGAUCAGCAUGCCGCGGUGAAUACGUUCCCGGGCCUUGNACACACCGCCCGU